UCUCAAAGUUGUUGAGAGAAUUUGCGCAGGGCAGUUGUGUGUUGAAUUGGAAUGGGACUGAAUGAUGUACAGCCUUCUCUAUUUAUAGCACCGGAUACCUUCAAGGUCGAGUUAAAACCCUACCCGGAUUAGGACUUCUUCUCCUGAUCAAACACCAACUUGACCAAUCCUAUUUUCACUAUAAUUGUGAACCUAGUCCUUUAUUGAGCCAGAUUCACUUCCGGAUUAUUAAUCUUGCCGAGACUCCUCAUUGCACCAGGAUUCGACUUGUCUUGCAGCAUGACUUAACCGAACCAGGUUUGGAAGC
rnacentral:lncRNA from 1 species